rnacentral:lncRNA from 1 species
AUCCCCAAAUUACUUUUAGGGCGCGUUUGGUUCGCACUAUCUUUUAAAGAUUCCUAAUAAUCCAAUGGGAAUAAAAAAAUAUGACGGUGUUUGGCUAAACGCACUAAGUAAUCUAGUUGGUAAUAUUGGAUUCACUUAGGAAUAUGAUUCACCCCAAAGUACUAAUCUCAUUCCCUUGAGGGGGAUGGGUAUCCUCAUAUUAAUGGAUUGGGAUAAUCAUAAUAUAUCUAAUCUCUUUUUUUCUUCCUACCCGUCGGCUAAUUGAUAUUAUUUUUCUUUACACUCUAACCUUAUAUCUCUCUCUAAACUUAUUUUUCUCUCUAAAAUUCAACUUUUUUUCUCUCUCUAAACUAAGCUUUCUCUCUCUCUCUCUCUCUCACUCCCUCUAAUUUUGACUAUAUUUUUCUUUUUAUUUUUUUAAUUAUGCUCUCUCUCUCUAACUUAUACUCUCUCUUCCUUUUUUCUAAAAAGAUGUUGAAACUUUUGGUAACAUUAUCUAAAAUUAAUUAAAUAAAUAAAUUAAUUAAUUGUAUAUUUUUUGUAAUAUUAAAUAACAUGACUAAUUAAUAUUACCGUGCGAACCAAACACAGGAAUUCCACAUUCUUAGUAAUAGAAUGAAUAGGAAUAAGAUUCUCGGAUAUCUUUUAUUUCUAGUAAUCUUUCAUAAUGCGAACCAAACGCACCCUUAUGGACAUUGUGUUCAUAAAAUUUUUGCCCGUCGACAACCCUUUUUCA